rnacentral:lncRNA from 1 species
GCGCGCACGCGGGCUCCAUCCGCGCCGUCGUCGGCAACGCCUCCUACGGCGCCGACGCCGCGCUCAUCGACGCGCUCCCGGCGCUCGAGAUCGUCGCCUCCUUCUCCGUCGGCAUCGACCGCGUCGACCUCGCCAAGUGCCGCGAGCGCGGGAUCCGGGUCACCAACACCCCCGACGUCCUCACCGACGACGUCGCCGACCUCGCCGUCGGGCUCGCCAUCGCCGUGCUACGCAGGAUCCCGCAGGCCGACCGAUUCGUCCGCGCCGGCCUGUGGAAGGCCAAGGGCGACUACGCACUCACCACGCGG